rnacentral:rRNA from 1 species
GAUUCUGGCUCAGGAUGAACGCUAGCUACAGGCUUAACACAUGCAAGUCGGGGGGCAGCAUGAAGUCAGCUUGCUGACUUGAUGGCGACCGGCGCACGGGUGAGUAACGCGUAUCCAACCUACCCCUUAGUAGGGCACAGCCCGUAGAAAUGCGGAUUAAUACCCUAUGUUUUCCGAGGAUGGCAUCUGACUUGGAACAAAGAUUCAUCGCUAGGGGAUGGGGAUGCGUCCGAUUAGCUUGCCGGCGGGGUAACGGCCCACCGGGGCGACGAUCGGUAGGGGUUCUGAGAGGAAGGUCCCCCACACUGGUACUGAGACACGGACCAGACUCCUACGGGAGGCAGCAGUGAGGAAUAUUGGUCAAUGGGCGCGAGCCUGAACCAGCCAAGUAGCGUGCCAGGACGACGGCCCUACGGGUUGUAAACUGCUUUUAUCAGGGGAUAAAGUGCGGGACGUGUCCCUCAUUGCAGGUACCUAAUGAAUAAGGACCGGCUAAUUCCGUGCCAGCAGCUGC